AGCACUACAAUGUAUGCUACCUAUCUCAUCCAUUUUUGGCAAACUGACCUGCUGCUAAUCUUCGGCAGCUCUUCAGCGGCGGGUCCUUCAGUGCUGCCAAAGACGCGGCGCGAGUGAAGGACCUGCCGCCACCAUGGAAGACUCGGCAUGCCGCCUGGCCAUUUGAAUCUCAUUGUUCUGAGGUGAAGUCUGACAACUUUGUGACCCUUUCUGAGAUCUGGAGAAAACCGUACCAACCCUGAAGCAUUUAGUUGGGCUCUCUCCCUACGAUGUGCCACCACACAGACAAUGGCUAUGGUUUAUGGCAGAGAAGUUCCGUGGACGAUAGCUGGUUGGAAAACAGUGAGCUUUCUUUAGGAAAAAUCAUCUCUGAAAUUUUGAAAAAUGCCACCCAGUUCUGUAAGACUGGUGGGGAAGAAAAAAAGCAACAAAAAAAAA